AUAAUUCGUUCAGCGAAAAGUGGCUCUCUGUAUACGAGCAACAUUUCUUUAGUUACGCAUCACUUAGAGAGAAUUUUUUUUGUCUCUAUACUACUGGGGGAUGCCACAUCUAAUAUGCUUGCCUUCGACCCUCUCAGAGAUGGACAAAAAUUGUCGCAGAGGAAAUGGACAUUUUUUGGACGGAAAAAUCAAGGAAAACGUCAGGCUGAAACUAUUCAAGGGGGGUUAAAAAUCUAUGUAGUUUAAGAAGUCUUUAAACUUGGCUCUCGAAGAACCCCUUAAAAUCGCUAUUUAACCAUUAUAACAAUUAAUUUAAGCGGGAAAAUAACUUCAAUUUGCAAUACUAAUUUCUGAAGCGCAACCUCAGGAGAUUUUCAACAACGAUCCCCUGACUCUACUGUGUUAUAAUUUUAGGCAAGUGAUACUAAGAAGAUAUUUUAACAUUAUUUGUUCUUCAAAACCAUAUUUUAGGAUUUUUAAAGACUAUGAAUUAAGCAUUAUUCCAGUAAACUUACGACAUUUAAAUGUAUAAAGGGUAAUCUAAAAGUCCCGUUACACCUCCUUUAAAUUUUUACCAGAUUGAUUUUUUUAAGACCGAAGAAAAUAAAAGUAUCAUCUUCGUAUCAUACACACAAAAUUAUAACGAUACGUCGUGUCGUGUCAGACGAUAGUUAGUAAAAUUCUUUUACGCUCAAGAAAUUCACUGCCGCAAAUUUAAACUUUCCCGCUUAAAUUUGAAAAUAGCGGCAACAAAAAUCAGCGCACCUCUGAUAUUUAGCGGGAACUGCCGCUAUUGGUCGGUUCAUUCUGGCCUUUGAUUCUGGCGCGAAGAACCAGCGAAGAACAAUCAAACAAACAUAACAACAUAACCUCAAUCUAAACCGUCACUUUUUGAUUUUUUGUUUUGUUCACUACUCACUGGCCACAGUCAAUUUGUAAUUAAUUUAGAUCCUCAAUUUAUUUUAAGAAUAUAUAUUUUGCGUGUGGAAAAUUAUGGAGGUUGACCGACACGAUGUAAAUGAAGAAAUCAAGCCACUGCCCCGCAAAUGUGGUAGAAAAUCCAGCUUCUUUCGGAAGUCCUUCAGUGCCUAUGCAGAAUCCUGCAACCAAACAACGUCUGUGAGAUCGACAAUCUUCUCUGCUGAUGAAAGUACUGAAGGAACAGAUGAUGGACUUAUUGCACUUCUGAAAGAACAGAAAAAACAAAGUAAAGUAGCUGUCGAGGAAUUGAAGGAUGCUUGUAUUCUAGCAAAGGCACAGAGCUUUCAAGAUUUCCUCGAUUUAGAAAAGGAAUUCGAGGCAGGAAUGUGUGAUAAGGAGGCUUUGAAAUGGAAAGAAAAUUUGGAAUUCAUCAAUGCAGCUCCUGACUAUAAAGGACUUUUUGCAAAGUUCGAGUCACUGAAAGAAAAAUAGCCCUCGAGACACGACUUGAUGCUAUGCUGAAGGAAUCAGCCGCCAACUUUGCCCGUGCUGCUCAAAACAAAAUUCAAAAUUCAGUCGGCAAUGUCAUCCAAAAACUUGCAGAGGAAAGAUUAACAAUAGCUGAUAUCCUGACUCCUGAUUUAAACAUCGAUUCUGAUGGCAUUAUGAUACAUUCAUUUCUAAAUACUCCAAACAGUCCAAUAGAUGAAAAAGAGAACUUCAUGUCUUAAUGACUGUUAAAAUGUUUUAUUGUUAUGUAUGUAAUGUAAAAUUUUAUUCAUUAACUCUUUCAAUGCCACAGGUAAGUUAGUUUGCCCACUGUAGUGAACAUGUCAUGAACCACAGAGGGGUUAAGUUGUUUUCAAGUGAAGUGCACCUCAAGACCUCCCCAUCUUAGCGGAAUGAUGGAAUAAGAAAUGGAGGUCAACCCCUCAUAAACCGAGCUGCUCAUCCGACUGUUUCUCGCAACCGUCUUUUUUUAGUGUACGUUCGAAGGAAAUACACAAUUAAGUUCACCUCUGACGUCAGACCGGGGCCAUGUGGAUUUUGUACCAUUUUUAUUUUCACCUAGUUUACGGAGUGAGCACAACAAAUCUUACUGCGGUAUUGAAAGGGAUAAGUAAAGUGAACAAUUGUCGAAAUUUUAAUAUUUAAAAUGGGUACAUUGUAAAAUUAUCAUGUUCACCAAUUUUAUAAUGUAACAUGCUUAUAUAUUUAGAGUUUUUGUAAUAUACUUUCAAAAUUUUGCGGAUAUUUUUUUACUUUAUCAAUCUUAUCACUAACACGCAUUGUGUCUUCAUUGUGACCGUUGCGUUGCUAGCCAACAAGAGAAUAAAAAAAAUCAAUACGCAUAGAGCAAGGCUACUAAGAUGAAUAAUCUUUGAACUGUAUGUAGCACUGAUUUAGGGAACUGAAUUUCAGAACAAUCUCUUAGGUUGUUCAUUUUUAUCAGGGUUCAUGUUUAUAUUUUUUAUGGAAAAAGUUACAUUUUUCCCCCUGAUGUCCUAGUUAAAAACAAAACAUCACAACCAGGACAUCAGGGAAAAAAGGUAACUUUUUCCAUAAAAAGUAUACAUUUCAGUAUGAUCAAUCAUUCACUCUGUAGAAAUCAGUGUGCUGCCUUCACCAUAAAAUUUUAGGAGCCACCUUGGUCAGAAAAUCCAAUUUCCAAGAGCCAAAUUAACUUUUUGCAUAUGCAUAAUGGUGCAUGAAAUUUGCCCAGUAAAUCAUGCGUAGAGAUUGUAACACUACUUUGCAACUGCAAAUUUGAAAAAAUCAACAGCAUGUGUCAACUUUUUCAGGUGUCCUGAUGGCCAGGCCCUC
rnacentral:lncRNA from 1 species